rnacentral:rRNA from 1 species
GCAUAUCAAUAAGCGGAGGAAAAAGAAACCAACCCGGGAUUGCCUCAGUAACGGCGAGUGAAGCGGCAAGAGCUCAAAUUUGAAAUCUGGCCCCUCCGGGGUCCGAGUUGUAAUUUGUAGAGGAUGCUUCGGGUGCGGUCCCCGUCUAAGUGCUCUGGAACGGGCCAUCGGAGAGGGUGAGAAUCCCGUCUGGGACGGGGUGUCCGCGUCCAUGUGAAGCUCCUUCGACGAGUCGAGUUGUUUGGGAAUGCAGCUCUAAAUGGGUGGUAAAUUUCAUCUAAAGCUAAAUACUGGCCGGAGACCGAUAGCGCACAAGUAGAGUGAUCGAAAGAUGAAAAGCACUUUGAAAAGAGAGUUAAACAGCACGUGAAAUUGUUGAAAGGGAAGCGCUUGCGACCAGACUCGCUUCCGGGGUUCAGCCGGCUUUCGGGCCGGUGUACUUCCCCGGGGGCGGGCCAGCGUCGGUUUGGGCGGCCGGUCAAAGGCCCCUGGAAUGUAACGCCUCUCGGGGCGCCUUAUAGCCAGGGGUGUCAUGCGGCCAGCCUGGACCGAGGAACGCGCUUCGGCACGGACGCUGGCAUAAUGGUCGUAAACGACCCGUCUUGAAACACGGACCAAGGAGUCUAACAUCUACGCGAGUGUUCGGGUGUCAAACCCGUGCGCGCAGUGAAAGCGAACGGAGGUGGGAGCCCCCUCGCGGGGCGCACCAUCGACCGAUCCUGAUGUCUUCGGAUGGAUUUGAGUAAGAGCGUAGCUGUGGGGACCCGAAAGAUGGUGAACUAUGCCUGAAUAGGGCGAAGCCAGAGGAAACUCUGGUGGAGGCUCGCAGCGGUUCUGACGUGCAAAUCGAUCGUCAAAAUUUGGGUAUAGGGGCGAAAGACUAAUCGAACCAUCUGGUAGCUGGUUCCUGCCGA